UACAGAGGUCUCAAGCGUUGUUCGGAUUCAUUGGGCGUAAAGGGUGCGUAGGCGGCGCGGUAAGUCGGGUGUGAAAUUCGUGACUUAACUCCGAAACUGCAUUCGAUACUGCGUGCUUGAGGACUGGAGAGGAGACUGGAAUUAUCGGUGUAGCGGUGAAAUGCGUAGAGAUCGUGAAGGAAGACCAGUGGCGAAGGCGGGUCUCUGGACAGUUCCUGACACUGAGACACGAAGGCCAGGGGAGCAAACGGG
rnacentral:rRNA from 1 species